CAGAGAACAUGAAAAAAAGAGUGUUGCCAUACCCACUGUAAGAAGACUAAUCAAUUAAGAGCACUCUUGGAAAUGGAAUCUUCAGCUUCAAAGGUUUGAUCUGUCCUUGCAAACUCAAGUACAAUCGAAAAGAGUAGAGCAAGUAUCUCUCAAGAUGUGCAGAGACAUCUGCAGAAGGGCAGUGACACGUAGCCUGUCGUGGCAUUUAUUUUUCCUGUCUGAGAUUGCAAACUCACUUGCCAACCUGAGAUCCCAAACACUCUCUCAGACAUCAAUGGAUCAAGCCUCCCAAUGCCCUUGUGGGGUUGUCUCACGGGCCUAGCAGGCAGAAUAUUAACGCUGCUGGCCCAGUCUGGGGAAGCCAAAUAGGAACAGCAGAUCCAGCGCAGACACUUAAGAAAGGAACUUUUGAUGUAGAGUAUCUUGUUUUUUCCCGCAGAAGACACCAGUGAAUAACGAAGCCAAGUCGUGGGCCGGGGGGAACCACACACACACACACACACACACACUCUGCCCACUGCAUGCCUUUCUUUUUGUUUGCUGAGUGCUACUGUUGUGACUUGCUUCUUGAAUGCUCUCUGCAGUAAUGAUGAGUGACUGGAGCAACAGUAAUUAUUUUUGAUCUCAGAGUAAACAGAAUAAUUAAAAAUAAAUGAGUUUACAAUAUUUUUAAAUGGGGGAACUUAGUAUAUAGUGUUAGAAAAUAUAAUAAUUCUAUUCCUAAACAGGGAUGCUGAGCAGCCAGCAUCUGAGCAAACACAAACUCUUCCAUACCAAUGGGCAAUCUGGUUAAUUGUAGCUUAUUUUAUGUGUUUAUAUGACCUCCCAUUGCCACAGUGUCUGAGCACCUCACAAUCUGUAAUUAUUUAUCCUCACAAACACCCCUGUGAGUGCUACUCUCUCCUUUCACAGGUGAGGCACAGAGAGACUAAAUGACUCGACUAGGGUCACAUAAGAAGUCUGUGAAGUAGCUGAGAAUUGAACCAAGGACUUCUGGGUGCCAAGCUAGUGCUCUAACCAAUGGAUGAUCCUUGUGGUAUGCCUUGGUGAUUGGUUUCUUUGUAAUUUUGGCACCAGUCUGCUUUGCUAGACUGCUGUCAACCAGAAGGUGGCUGCAUACACAAACAGCCCUCUUAGAACCCAUCCAUGAGAAAGGGGCCUGGAUCCCGUCUCCAUCCGGCUCCUCUAUAGCAACAGCAAGAAAGUAGACACAUAGCGUUCUUCCUUGCUACACCUCAUUGGCUUGAAGAACCUACAUCUGUUACUCAGGUAAAACAUCCACUGAAAUCAGUGGAAGUUCAGGCCAUGUGGACUCACUGCCUGUUCCCUCCUACAUGUUAAAUUGCUUUGAUCUCAGCAGAAAUAAUGCAGGAGUGUCCACUCUUACAGAGGAGUUUGAAAGAUGGUGGCUCAGCAGGUCAUCAGAUCUGUGCAUCUCACUCACCACCCUCUUUGGUCUCCCAGGUGGAUUCCCUGCUGUCUGCCCAGGUUUGUGACAAAUGGGUAUUAUUGGGGGCCUCAUAAUGAAAAAGUACAUUGCCACUUCCUAUCAAAGAGGCCACGCUGCAGUCUGCCCAUCCAAAUGCACAGAGACACUGAUGAAUUCAGGCUGCGUAGCUGCUACCGUUCUUUCAUUUGCUGCUAUUGCACGUCUGGAUACCCCUUAUUGCACUUGUCUGUUCUUCUCCACUAUAUCACUUUGAUAGACGAGUUUUAGAGCAUUUUCUGACUGCCCAAAGUGAAAGUGUAAUUAGAUAUCUAAUCAGCUGCAGCACGUAUAGUUUAAAAGGUUAAAAAAUGCAUGUCUCUACCAUUAGAAUAAAGGCUUCUGCUAGACAUAAAUAUUGCUUUAAGCUCUUUAACCUGCGUUGUUUCCUAAAGCACCUGGUGAUAUGUAAAACUCUAACACAACUUAACAGAAGAAAUCAGUUAUGUAAAUUUUCGACAAUGAAUGUGCAACUCAUAAGUGAUGGUGUAGCUCAUAACUGAUGUAACCUUCUCUUUUAAUAUCUAUGAAAGGAAACAAUUUGUGCCAUCAACACUUCUGUUAACUUUAGUAGAACUCUCUCACCUAGUCACGGGGCAGCCCUAAGUGGCUGUGCAGGGACAUAAGAGGAAGUAAGAGACUGUCCCCUCCUCCCAAAACUCCCACCACCAGCCUCCUCGCAUCAGAGCUAGAAGUGCAGGGUGGAAAGCAAGGGCCUCAUGACUGUUAUUUCUCACCUCUGCACUAAUGGGCAGGGAGUGAGUAGAGGGGAAGUCGCAAAUGGGUAUAGUCUCAGCUCCACCUCUAGUGUGCAAGCUGGGCCAGCCCUGGAGGCCAGACUACUUCCCCCUAGGAGCAGGGUGUAGCAGAGAAGGAAAUUUGCCUCUAAAACGAUUCCUUCCUUAUAGCCCUUACUGAGGGUUAGCUGGAAGUGGGCAAUCUGGCCCUCGGUGAUUUAAACGUAAUCAGAAGUGAGGGAGGGUGCAAAUCAGAACCAUUCAUAUUGCUCUUCUGUUUCCUCCCACCCAACAUACAUCCCCCCCCGACACUUUGUAGGGGGAUGGAGAAGGAAAAGUCAGGCCUGAACCCAUCCUACCCUGAGCUUUGCCCAUCCAAAACUUCCUUUGCUUUUUAUCCAUAUCUUCUAGGAGUUUUCAAACGUAAAUACUUCCCACUGGUUUUACUCUUUCAAAAGCAAACUCCUCAGAGUUUCAGUAAUUCUGCUUUGAAACUGAGUGGAACAACCCACAGCUCUGCUGUGAGGACUAGCUGCUGGGACCUCCUCCAUAACCUCUCUCCACACCCCUAUGAGUUGUAUAUCUAACACAUCACACAGGGGAAAGUUUGCUUCAUAUAAAUGUACUCUCAUUUCCCUGUUUUUACUCUAGGCUUCAGGAUAUACCAUAGCACAUCUCAUACCAUUAGGGAUCUCAGAUUGGUGGGAAAGAGCCACUUUUCUUAUUAAUUUAUUCAGACAGUUGGCAGGGGGAAAAUCCAUGGCACGUCAUAACUAUUAGAUGAGUCUAUUGGAUAUUGAGCUAAAUGUACCUGUGGCUGUUAAGUCCAUUGACUGCAAUAAUGUGGCACACUGUUAGAAGAACUUCACCAGAAUGGUAGGUGUUGUGGUCAUUAGGCAUUUUUGGCUGAUGACUAGCCACAUGGCACCCUUCAUGGGGCCAUGCUCUUUCAUUCAACUGCAGCAAUAUGGUACGUAAUGUUACAAAAAUAUUCCCUUAGUCAAUUACCAACUGCCUCCCCCCCC